CCUACGGGAGGCAGCAGUGGGGAAUAUUGGGCAAUGGGCGCAAGCCUGACCCAGCAACGCCGCGUGAAGGAAGAAGGCUUUCGGGUUGUAAACCUCUUUUGUCAGGGACGAAGCAAGUGACGGUACCUGACGAAUAAGCUACGGCUAACUACGUGCCAGCAGCCGCGGGAAUACGUAGGUGGCAAGCGUUAACCGGAUUUAAUGGGGGGAAAGGGCGUGUAGGUGGGGCAGCAAGUCAGAUGUGAAAACCACGGGGUCAACCUGUGGCCUGCAUUGGAAACUGUUUUUCUUGAGUGCUGGAGAGGCAAGCGGAAUUCCGUGUGUAGCGGUGAAAUGCGUAGAUAUACGGAGGAACACCAGUGGCGAAGGCGGAUUGCUGGACAGUAACUGACGCUGAGGCACGAAAGCGUGGGGAGCAAACAGGAUUAGAUACCCCUGUAGUC
rnacentral:rRNA from 1 species